UACGUAGGGUGCAAGCGUUGUCCGGAAUUAUUGGGCGUAAAGAGCUCGUAGGCGGUCUGUCGCGUCUGCUGUGAAAACUCGGGGCUUAACCCCGGGCCUGCAGUGGGUACGGGCAGACUAGAGUGCGGUAGGGGAGACUGGAAUUCCUGGUGUAUCGGUGAAAUGCGCAGAUAUCAGGAGGAACACCGGUGGCGAAGGCGGGUCUCUGGGCCGUAACUGACGCUGAGGAGCGAAAGCAUGGGGAGCGAACAGG
rnacentral:rRNA from 1 species